rnacentral:rRNA from 1 species
AGCAGUAGCCGCGGUAAUACGUAGGGUGCGAGCGUUAAUCGGAAUUACUGGGCGUAAAGCGUGCGCAGGCGGUUGUGUAAGACAGGUGUGAAAUCCCCGGGCUUAACCUGGGAACUGCGCUUGUGACUGCACAGCUAGAGUAUGGCAGAGGGGGGUGGAAUUCCACGUGUAGCAGUGAAAUGCGUAGAGAUGUGGAGGAACACCGAUGGCGAAAGCAGCCCCCUGGGCCAAUACUGACGCUCAUGCACGAAAGCGUGGGGAGCAAACAGGAUUAGAUACCCCAGUAGUCCCUGUCUCUUAUAA